rnacentral:rRNA from 1 species
UACGUAGGGUGCGAGCGUUGUCCGGAAUUAUUGGGCGUAAAGAGCUCGUAGGCGGCCUGUCGCGUCGGAUGUGAAAGCCCGGGGCUUAACCCCGGGUCUGCAUUCGAUACGGGCAGGCUAGAGUGUGGUAGGGGAGAUCGGAAUUCCUGGUGUAGCGGUGAAAUGCGCAGAUAUCAGGAGGAACACCGGUGGCGAAGGCGGAUCUCUGGGCCUUACCUGACGCUGAGGAGCGAAAGCGUGGGGAGCGAACAGG